rnacentral:rRNA from 1 species
CCCUUAGAUGUUCUGGGCCGCACGCGCGCUACACUGAUGAAUGCAACGAGCUCUACCCUUGACCGAAAGGCCCGGGUAAACUUGUGAAACUUCAUCGUGAUGGGGAUAGAUUAUUGCAAUUAUUAAUCUUCAACGAGGAAUUCCUAGUAAGCGCAAGUCAGCAGCUUGCGUUGAUUACGUCCCUGCCCUUUGUACACACCGCCCGUCGCUACUACCGAUUGAAUGGUUUAGUGAGAUUUUUGGACUGGAACUCUCUUGUUCAGCAAUGAACGAGAGGGACUCUGGGAAGCUAUUCUAACUGUAUCAUUUAGAGGAAGUAAAAGUCGUAACA